GUGCAGCAGGCGCGAAAACUUUACAAUGCUGGCAACAGCGAUAAGGGAACCUCGAGUGCCAGGUUACAAAUCUGGCUGUCGAGAUGCCUAAAAAGCAUUUCAUAGCAAGGGCCGGGCAAGACCGGUGCCAGCCGCCGCGGUAACACCGGCGGCUCGAGUGGUAACCGUUAUUAUUGGGUCUAAAGGGUCUGUAGCCGGCCGGAUAAGUCUCUUGAGAAAUCUGGCAGCUUAACUGUCAGGCUUUCAGGAGAUACUGUCUGGCUCGAGGCCGGGAGAGGUGAGAGGUACUUCAGGGGUAGGGGUGAAAUCUUGUAAUCCUUGAAGGACCACCAGUGGCGAAGGCGUCUCACCAGAACGGACCUGACGGCAAGGGACGAAAGCUAGGGGCACGAACCGGAUUAGAUACCCGGGUAGUCCUAGCCGUAAACGAUACUCGCUAGGUGUCGGCCACGGUGCGACCGUUGUCGGUGCCGUAGGGAAGCCGUGAAGCGAGC
rnacentral:rRNA from 1 species